rnacentral:lncRNA from 1 species
UGGGACAAAACAAGGCAGGUGGUCUCUGUAUUCCAUGUAGUGUCUCUGUGAGAAGUGUUUUCAGUUCAGGUUUUUUUAAGUUGUAAAUAUCAAGGUUUCUGUAAUCUAGCUCAUCAGUAAGGGUUUCCUUGGUUAAAUUUACAAAGCGGUUGAUGUUGUUCUGCAUGUUGAAAGUUUUCCACAGAGUACCACCUUUAAAAAGAUCAAGACGUUGCUGUAAAGAUUGAGUUUUCUGGAUAAAAGCCGCUUCAAAAUUUGAGUGGUUCACUGCAGCUAAGCCACAGAUACAUCGGUAAUUGCCUCCCCUUUGCUGUCCACACUCAAAUUGUCGGGCAGGAUUGUCCCCAGUGAAAAUCCUGACUGUGUCAUAAACCUUUAAACCAUCGGGAGCAAUUGAUGGAGUGCUUAGAUCUUUAAGGUCCUCCACCCUUGUAGUACUGUAUGACAUCUGGUCAAAAUCGCUACUCUUUGACUGACCAAAUAUGUUAGAGCUUUGGCUUUUCAACAAUGCUUUGUACAUCAAUAGCUUUUUGAUUUUUGAUCAGGGUAUUUUUCAGUGUAUUCCUCAUUUGUAAGAUAAAUAUUUUCAUCGAACAAACAAGAAACCAUUAUCAAAAAGUAUGGCCUACUCAAUAUGCCAGAAUGGUCAUGCCACAAUUUCAAAUGACGAUGGAUGGUGUUGGCAGACGCCCUGAAAAAACCCAUUUCAGACUGUUCAUUUGUCAGCUUCUGACAUAACUGGUGUAGGGGAAAUUUUCUGCCAUAAACUGUCACAAUCUUUUCUACCAAUUCACCAGUGGUUGUUAUAUUAUUUGAUUUAAAGACUUUAGGAGCAACUGCAACACCUAUAUCCAAGUCGCCAGUCUGUAAUAGUUCCCUUACUUCUUUCUUAAGUUUUUUGGCUGGUCUUGGUGUUGAUAGACGUUUACAUAAUAUGUGUUUAGCCCUACGAACUCGCCUAAAGUAAUCCCUGCCGCUUAUUCUUUUUGUAUCAUUAAAUUUGUUAACUUCAACUCCUUCAGAUUUGGCAAAUUGGUAUAAAACCUGACCUGCAUUGAGUGGAAAUUUAUGAUAAGAGUUUUUGACCUCAUAUUUUCUGGAUAAUUCGGUCCAGUUUAUGUUUGAUUUAGCAGGAAGUGAUUUGAUUUCAUUAAUGAACUUCUUCUUGUCGAAUUCAUAAUUGUUUAUGUUUCCUAUACUUUUUCUCUGUUUUUGUGUUUUUUUGGCCUCUUCUCUGAAUCUUUUAGCUAUGUUUUGUUUUGCUUUGGUAUUGCUAAUAAAAAAUGUUCCCAAUCUUUCUCUUACAUAUUCACUAUAGGAUUUUGUUGAGGCUAGAAAGUUUUUAAUUUUAUUAUCUGCAUUUAGUAGGUUGGACAUUUCUUCUUUUUGUUUUGAUAGUACAGAUUUUAUUUCUUUUUCUUUUUCUCCUGAAGUCAACUUUGGUGUUAGUUUAUAAUUUUUGCAAAUUACGUCUGUAAAAUUACUUCCAGUUUUCUUUUCUAUGUACGGGACAAUUGUGUUCACUACUUUAAUCAUUUUGCCAUCAUUGUUAGUUUUUGAAGUGUUGCAAACUGUUGUUGUAAGUUGAGUGCAUAAUUGGUCGAUAUCAUUUGUUGUUUGUGGUGCACUGGCAGCAUGCAGAGACGUGUGGAAGGCAUCGGAUUUACAAAUAUUGCAAUCUUGUUGCUGAUGGCCUUUUUUUCAAUUUCACUGAGUUUACACCAGUUUUUCAGGUUAUAUUGUUCAAUAAAGAGAGUUUUUUCUCCUGAUUUGUUACAAUUUUUCCAAUAUUUUGUCUUUGUAAGAUAAGUUUGCACCCGAGGGACUCUAGAUUUGAACUCGGCUAAUGGUAUUUACAUUUUGGGGUAUUUGUUCAUUAUAACAUGAUAAUUGUUAUAUCUUUGAAAUACAUUUAUGUUUUGACUGUGAUUAAGCACUGUUGUAUAAAUUGAGAUUUCUUUGGAAUUUUCAACUUGCUUAUUGUUCCACCAUUUCAGAUUAUCUGGGUCUUUGGUUGAUCUAGCCAAGAUCACCUUUGCAUAGUUACACAUAUUCAUGUUUGCAGGUUAUUUGUCAAAAGAUUGUUGAAACAUUGUGUCAAAUUUUAAAAUAUGUUGUGUCCUCCAUGAUGAUUUCAGCUAUGUUUUUGUUCAUAGAUUAUAUUUAUAUAUGUAUUGAAUCUUAAAAAAAGAAUGUUGUGCAUUCUCACAGAAAUAAAAAUAAAACUGAUCAAUGGCAUUCUUCGUGUAUUUUAUAUCGUUAAACAAGAAUUUAGAGGCUAGGAAACAUCAAUUUGACAGCAUAUUUUGGAGGAGGAAAAAACAAUUUGAACCAUUCAGGACUCUUAUAUCACAAUUGUGAAACAAAAAUGAUGGUCAAAAUUAAAAAAUUAAAAUUAUAAAAAAAAACUUUAAAAAAGAGCAGCAUAAAAGAAGUGCAACAUGAACUGAC